rnacentral:rRNA from 1 species
CUUAAGUUGACCUAGUUGACUUAGGUGGCUGGCGAGUGGCGGACGGGUGAGUAACGCGUAGGAAUCUAGCCUUCAGAGGGGGAUAACUCGGGGAAACUCGGGCUAAUACCGCAUAGUCUCUACGGAGGAAAGCAGGGGACCGAAGGGCCUUGCGCUGGGGGAUGAGCCUGCGUCCGAUUAGUUAGUUGGUGGGGUAAGGGCCUACCAAGGCGACGAUCGGUAGCUGGUUUGAGAGGACGGCCAGCCACACUGGGACUGAGACACGGCCCAGACUCCUACGGGAGGCAGCAGUGGGGAAUAUUGGACAAUGGGCGCAAGCCUGAUCCAGCAAUGCCGCGUGGGUGAAGAAGGCUUUCGGGUUGUAAAGCCCUUUCAGUGGGGAAGAAAAGCGGUGUGUGAAGAGCGCAUCGUGUUGACGUUACCCACAGAAGAAGCAUCGGCUAACUCCGUGCCAGCAGCCGCGGUAAUACGGAGGGUGCGAGCGUUAAUCGGAAUCACUGGGCGUAAAGGGCGCGUAGGCGGUUUAGCAAGUCGGAUGUGAAAGCCCUGGGCUCAACCUGGGAAUGGCAUUCGAGACUGCGAGGCUAGAGUAUGGUAGAGGGAGGCGGAAUUUCCGGUGUAGCGGUGAAAUGCGUAGAGAUCGGAAGGAACACCAGUGGCGAAGGCGGCCUCCUGGACCAUGACUGACGCUGAGGUGCGAAAGCGUGGGG